GGCGCUAUAGCCAAGUGGUUACGGCGACAGAUUCGAAUCACUUGUACUAGAUCAUCUGUUCCUCUUUGAGGGCGCAGGUUCAAAUCCUGCUGGCGUCG